rnacentral:rRNA from 1 species
ACGCUCGACACCUACGGGAUGCAGCAGUCGGGAAUAUUGCGCAAUGGAGGAAACUCUGACGCAGUGACGCCGCGUGCAGGAAGAAGGUUUUCGGAUUGUAAACUGCUUUAGACAGGGAAGAAAGAAAUGACAGUACCUGUAGAAUAAGCUCCGGCUAACUACGUGCCAGCAGCCGCGGUAAUCUGAGCGGGCUGGCAAGGC